rnacentral:rRNA from 1 species
UUCAGGAAGGGAACCCGCUGAACUUAAGCUAUCAAUAAGCGGAGGAA